AGCGGGGUGGGGAAGCCAGGUCAUCCCGGCGGGCUCAUAACCCACAGAUCGGUGGUUCAAUAGGAUAAUAUCCGGAAAAUCCACCCCCCGCUA
rnacentral:tRNA from 1 species